UGUAUUUAUUUCAGGCUGCAGAACUUGUAUGGCUCCCCCAGCACCUGGAGUGUGCGGCAUCCUUUAGUGCCAUCACCAAAAAGGAGCUAUUGCCUCUACCCUGCCGGUGGGGAGCUGAGCUUUUUGGCCAUCAGCCUUGUCAGGAAUUUGGGAAACAGAGACGUGGUCUGAGGUUAACAUCUUACUGCCAACUUGCUUCAUCAGUUGGUGUCUGGAAGCCUUGCAGGAGCUCCAGCUAACCUGUCACCUGCAGUGAAUAAAUUUCCUAGCUGGAGGGAAACUUCUUCCUGCGAUGGGGGACAGGAUGUCUUCGUGAGACAUUUUACCAAUGGAUUUACUGCAACGGAGAGGUAAGAAGCAUAACGUUGUCUUGCUGAGAAUGCCCAAGGGGAGCAGCCCAUCAUCACCCUGAGGACCAAAGGUGAACUGCUGGACUGCUCGUUUUUGUCCUUGCCUUGUCCUCACCUGCAGAAGUGGAAAACCAUUUCUUGUCUGCUCAGCGUGGGGGCAUCGCUGCUGGUGCAAGGAAGAGGAGAUGGUGCUUAGGUGAAUGAAAAUAAAUAACACAAAGCUCUUCGUGCAGUGCUAAGGUGACAUUCAGAGAAGCCGGGUCACCGUAUGAGGCUGAGAAAAGCCCCCCUUAGAGGAAGAAAACAGCAAUAUCUGGCCCAGGGGAUGCACCCUGCAGCUUGUGCCACCUGGUAUCUGCCUCUCCGCCACCUCGUGCAGGGAAUUUCAGACCCCUUUAUGAGCUGUGUUUGCUGCUGAGAUGGAGACUUGGGCAUUCUUCUUGUUCUUAUCUUGUUGCUCCUAUAAUAACUUUUGGAUCCCUUGCUGGGGUCGACCAAAUUUCACAGUGGACUAGAGAGCUUAGAGAUAUUAAAUAUCCAGGAGGAGUGCAAAAAUGGGCAUCCGUAAAGAAAAAGGAGACCCGUUUAGUGGCUUUAGUGUGGAAGAGGUGAAUAGGAUUAGCUCUUAUCUUUGCAGAGGAAUCCAGGCUUCGUUAGUUCUGCUGCCCAAGCAAUGCCCGGCCGCUGUUGUGACGGCGGAUAUUAGGGUCAUGAGCAGUGCCAUAAAUAGCUAAUUUAGCUUUUAUGUGCCAUUUACACCACUUCUGCCAACAAAGUGACACAUGAUAAAUACAAGCAAGAAAGGCUUUCAGCUUUAAAAAUAGAUUUAUUUUUUUUUUCCACUCUAUAUGCUGCAGGAGGAAGGCCUGACUCUGCUCUCACUUAGGCAGGCAUAAAACAAAAUUAGCUACAGAGAAAUGAAUGGGGAUGCAUCUAUCAAAAAUGUGCAAGUGGCAGCAGAAAUGGCCUCUUCUCUUUUAAACUUCUUCCUAUUCAAUACUGCACAAACGUAUUUAUUUAUUUGAUGCAAUAACCUUUUAGGACUGAUGAAAUUAUACUCCUGCCCCUCGAAUCAGAGCUGAUGUCAUUCAGGAAUGAACACGGAUGCAUCUCAAUGGAAAAUCAGCCUGAAUGGAAAAGUGUAAAAAAUAUAAAGUGUCUCCACGGAGGGCCAGCAUCUACUUUGGUUCCCUAGGAAGGGCUGAAGCGGUUGUGCUCAGCACUGGCAGGCUCCACUCAGCCAUCCUCAUCCUGAGCCUUUGGCCUCAGCUGGGCAGGGUGAAGCCCCCGUGGGACCUAGGCAGGUCGGCAGAUGGUGUGGGAAUGUCCCAAGGGGCAUGGCAGGGAGAGGAGGAGGAAGAGCUCCCCAUAGGAAAGCAGAGAAUCCCUUUUCCCCAGGAGCUGGAUCCCAGGGCUCUGCUCGCUGAGGCGGCGGUGAUCUGAAAGCUAACCAAAAGCGCUGCUGCUAUCCCAGAGUACCGCCUUAAAUAAUUGAAAAAUGAAUAAUUAAAUUAAAAGAGGAUUAUUUCCCGCAGACAAGCAGAAAAUUGCUGCCUGCGGGACAAAGGGCGAUGGUAAGGCUUCAUUUUCUGCAGCCAGCAGCGAGGUGAUGGGAACAACACCUGCGGAGGGCAGGAAGAGCCCCCCCUGGGUUACCUUGGGCUAUUUUGGCUCCCGGUUUCUCUCCCCCUUGUGUUUUCCCAAAUGUAGGGAUGCUGAUUGCUGGAGGAGGAAGCAAAUCAGGAAACACGAGACGUGCCCUUAUGCGUGAAUGUCAGCCCUGGGGUGUGGGGGAAUCUGUUUACAUACAGGCACACGAGGGAUUUGCACAGCCCAGUCCCGCUGACUGAUGGUUAGCUGCUAGACAUAUCUGUGGGAUACAUUUCUAUGUUUAGUCCCCUACGUUUAUUUUACCAGUGAGUGUGAGGGGAUGUGCACAUGAGCUUUGUUCUGGCACCUUGUAAGAAUGGUAUUUCAUGGCACUAUUAUUUUUCCCGAAGAUGUAUAUAUCUGUUUGAGCAGAUGACACAUCGUAAGAGUCUGUAUUUCUCAUGAACUAUAAUUAAAAAUGAACAACUCCCUGCAUAGGAUAACAAUACCAUAAUAUACUUGCUCUCCUCACGGAAAUUUAAACAAGUUGACAUGCUGAGUGAAUAAUGAUCUUACAUUUAUACCACACUUAUUUUCCCUGAGCACUGAAAGCCCAUGGUACACGAAUAUCGAAACCAUGUGAAAUAUUAGAGUGGGGCCUGAACACGUCCAGCAGGAACCGAGCUGUGCUCCUCCACCCUUCCUCCUCCCCAGUGCCUCAAGCUCUCCUUGCCCUCCCAAACCUCCUACCCGGCCGCCCCAUCCCUGUGGUAUCCCACUCUCUUCUUUGUGCCUUUCGGAUCUGGAAGGCCUCUUUUUGUUCCAUGUCUUUGCCUUCUGACAGCCCUCCUCACCCCCUCCUUAAAGCUCCAGUUUCUCCAGCAAAGCACUCUCUUCGCUCGCCACAUCAGCACUGCUUAUGAAAGGUCAGGGUACUUUGCCAGGAGCUGUGGCAUUUUCUUUAAGUCCAUCUUCUCAUCUCUCUGGCCAGAGACUUCAUGGUCCCCAAGGGGGUGGCCAUGGUUGUGACCGGGCUGUCACAAACCAGAUGUCCACGAUGGUGUCAUGGGAUUCAGAGAGACACGUGCAGCCCUGUUAGUCCCCCUUCCUCCCUCCACUCCAUACUCAUCAUCGCACCAUUUAUAUCUGAAAAACACGAGCCUGGCCUUUCGGUAACAGAUUUCUCAUCCUGCACCCCCCUGUGCCAAAGCAGAUGGGCAGAGGAAGCUCAGAGAGUAAAUAACGUGCUUGACACCGCAUAGCAGGGCUGUGGCAGAACAAUUUCUGGGUGCCAGCCCCGGUCUCAAACCCAGCCCCAGGAACACAGCGACGAGUUUCCCUCCUGCCUUGAUGCCUGCCUGGCCAGAUGAGCACACGGCAUCUUUGUCCCAUGGCACUGACCGAGGACCUGAAGGAUGCCAGCCACCUGUGCGGGAUAAAGGCACUGGUCUAGGACCAGGGGAUGAGGGUAUUCUGCUUGGGCUCUUUGGUGAGGUGCUCGCUUUCCCUGGCUUGUCUGGAAGCACUAAAGUACAGGUUUUGCAAAGGUGUGUCAGCCCUGUAGUUUAAUCAGUGAGCACUGGCCCUUUUCAUCUUCAAAGCCCUGCGGGACCGGCCUGCCGGAGCCUCCUCUCAUCAGCCACUGGGCAGGGGAAGAAGCGGUGGCAGAGAGCAAAGGCUCCAGGGCUCCUCAAUGCGAGACACCGACACGAGCACCAGAGCAUCCGUAUGGGGCCAAGCCGAUGUCCUGCCUCCCCUGCAUCCUGUCUGGGCACGGGUGGGUGCCGAUAAAAAGGUGUAAAGCCAACGGGGCCGGCACGGAGCAUCCUCCCUGCCGGCGUGCCUUGAAAAAUGAGUGAUUCCUUUCUACACCCAACACCUCUGCUGGUGAUUAAAGCAUUGACUCGUGCUUUUUGGCUUGUGGUGCUUGCAUUGUGCAGGACCGUUCGAGUCAAAAAAAGGAAACGCUUUGAUGAUCUUAAUCAGGACUUCCCUCCAAACACGCAUUUCCGUGCCUGCUGCGGCGGGAGCCAGCAGAACACUCUGCUACCCGAGAGCCUGCAUCCGAAAUGCUCCUCCACAGCCAAAUGUCACCAGAAACGGGGAAAAAUACAGCCCUGCUCGCAAACUGUUAGCCAGAGCAAACAAAAAAGUCCUCCCACAUCCCAAGAGCAAGGUUUCUGGUAGGCAGCCCGGUGUCAGUGGAAAAUCAAUGCAUUUACGCCUGGUUUCAAAGCCUUGGAAGCGGAGAGGAGCUUCUCCAUCAAUUUUGGGGGGUUGGAUCAGGUCCUCCGGGAGCACCCAUCAUCAGAAGCAAGACUGGCCAUACGGAUCCAAGCUCAAAACUGUGUCAGGAGAGCACGCUGCAAUGCUCUGAGCAGGCGCCGAACGACUCUCCGCACGCUAUCGAUCCUCCCUUCUAGCUUGUGAAGAUGUUUUAUAUACGUUGCAUCAGAGGUAAAAUUUACCCAAGGAAUUUAAUAAACUGCAAAGACAGCACGCAAACUUUGCACUACUUGCAGAUUAAAAAGUCAUCCGCUCCCCAGCGACUUCCUCUUGCACGUACCAAAGAAGUCCAAGUGUGGAUAAAUUUAACGCAGCUGAUUCUCAUUUUUGCUUCUGGAAAAUGUUGCCCUGGAAGAUCUCAGAGUCAAGCUAUACAUCUGUCACUCCCUCCAGUCAAGUCCUUGGGAAUCUAUAUUUAUAGACCUAGGUUUGGUACAGUUAGAGCCUGUGCCAAAGCCUACUGCAGUCAAUGGAAAUCUUGGG